GACGAACGCUGGCGGCGUGCUUAACACAUGCAAGUCGAGCGGAAAGGCCACUUCGGUGGUACUCGAGCGGCGAACGGGUGAGUAACACGUGAGUAAUCUGCCCUUCACUUUGGGAUAACCCCCGGAAACGGGAGCUAAUACCGGAUACGACCUUCAACCGCAUGGUUUGUUGGUGGAAACUUUUUUGGGUGGGGGAUGUGCUCGCGGCCUAUCAGCUUGUUGGUGGGGUAAUGGCCUACCAAGGCUUUGACGGGUAGCCGGCCUGAGAGGGUGACCGGCCACACUGGGACUGAGACACGGCCCAGACUCCUACGGGAGGCAUCAGUGGGGAAUAUUGGACAAUGGGCGGAAGCCUGAUCCAGCAACGCCGCGUGAGGGAUGACGGCCUUCGGGUUGUAAACCUCUUUCAGCACCGACGAAGCGCAAGUGACGGUAGGUGCAGAAGAAGGACCGGCCAACUACGUGCCAGCCGCCGCAGUAAAAC
rnacentral:rRNA from 1 species